AGUCACUGACAUUAGAUACCCGUGUAGUCCAGGGUGUAAACGCUGCAGACUUGGUGUUGGAAGUCCUUUGGGGGCAUUCAGUGCCGGAGAGAAGUUGUUAAGUCUGCUACUUGGGGAGUACGUCCGCAAGGAUGAAACUUAAAGGAAUUGGCGGGAGAGCACCGCAACGGGAGGAGCGUGCGGUUUAAUUGGAUUCAACACCGUAAAACUCACCAGGGAAGACUGUUACAUGAAAGCCGAGAUGAAGACUCUGCUAGAUUUUUCAG
rnacentral:rRNA from 1 species